rnacentral:rRNA from 1 species
CAACCUGCCGUCUACUCUUGGACAGCCUUCUGAAAGGAAGAUUAAUACAAGAUGGCAUCAUGAGUCCGCAUGUUCACAUGAUUAAAGGUAUUCCGGUAGACGAUGGGGAUGCGUUCCAUUAGAUAGUAGGCGGGGUAACGGCCCACCUAGUCUUCGAUGGAUGGGGGUUCUGAGAGGAAGGUCCCCCACAUUGGAACUGAGACACGGUCCAAACUCCUACGGGAGGCAGCAGUGAGGAAUAUUGGUCAAUGGGCGAGAGCCUGAACCAGCCAAGUAGCGUGAAGGAUGACUGCCCUAUGGGUUGUAAACUUCUUUUAUAAAGGAAUAAAGUCGGGUAUGGAUACCCGUUUGCAUGUACUUUAUGAAUAAGGAUCGGCUAACUCCGUGCCAGCAGCCGCGGUAAUACGGAGGAUCCGAGCGUUAUCCGGAUUUAUUGGGUUUAAAGGGAGCGUAGAUGGAUGUUUAAGUCAGUUGUGAAAGUUUGCGGCUCAACCGUAAAAUUGCAGUUGAUACUGGAUAUCUUGGGUGCAGUUGAGGCAGGCGGAAUUCGUGGUGUAGCGGUGAAAUGCUUAGAUAUCACGAAGAACUCCGAUUG